CUUGCCAUCUGCAUAUAAGUUAUUGCACUGAAAACUUUAUUAAGCUUUUAUUUGCUGAUUAUAGUUAACUAAUGUUUAAGGUAAUUUUGUUUGUAUGUAUGUAUGAAUGAAUAUGCAAAUUGGCUUGCUUAAUCUGCUAGAGUAGACAUUUUGUAUCCAGGUUGGAGCUCUAAUCCACCUGAUCAGUUAGAAGCUCUUUUGCUUAAGGAUAGGAUGUAUGGAGAUUUUAGUUUAUGAAUGAUAUUAUCUUAUUUUGAUAAAAAAAAAAAAGGUAAUUUUAUUUGUAGUUAUUGUUAACUUGUUAAAAUAAUGAAAAGAGAAAAUGAAAGAUCUGUUUGAUGUUGAAUGGAUUUAUUUUUCCAUCUAGUUAUCGGUAUUCUUAAUUAUUCAUAUCUGUUUGACGUAGAAUUGGAUAAAACAAGAAAAAUGAA
rnacentral:misc_RNA from 1 species